UUGACGGGGAGCACUACAACGGGUGGAGCCUGCGGUUUAAUUGGAUUCAACGCCGGAAAUCUCACCGGGGCGACAGCAAUAUGAAGGUCAGGCUGAAGACUUACCCGAUUAGCUGAGAGGUGGUGCAUGGCCGUCGUCAGUUCGUACUGUGAAGCAUCCUGUUAAGUCAGGCAACGAGCGAGACCCACGUCCACAGUUGCCAGCAUACCCUCCGGGGGUGAUGGGUACACUGUGGAGACCGCCGCUGCUAAAGCGGAGGAAGGAGUGGGCAACGGUAGGUCAGUAUGCCCCGAAUCUCCCGGGCUACACGCGGGCUACAAUGGUUGGUACAAUGGGCAUCUACCCCGAAAGGGGAAGGAAAUCUCUUAAAGCCAAUCGUAGUUCGGAUUGAGGGCUGUAACUCGCCCUCAUGAAGCUGGAAUGCGUAGUAAUCGCGUGUCAUAACCGCGCGGUGAAUACGUCCCUGCUCCUU
rnacentral:rRNA from 1 species